rnacentral:tRNA from 1 species
UUGGCUGUAGCUUAACGGUAAAGCGCUUGCCUGUGGAGCAAGAUAAGCGGGUUCGACUCCCGUCAGCCAAC